CCUCUGUUUCAUGAGGCUCAUUCAAUGAGGCUCAGUAGGAGAGUCCAGACCCCUUUUUGUUUUAUUAAAUCAUUUUGUUAAACGAUCCAGUGCUAUGAGGUACCACUGGGUUUGCAUACUGCUGGGAUGAGAGGUUUAUUUGUGUUUCCUCGCUCUUCAUUUUGGCUUUGCUUCCAACAUUCACUGUAUUGUUUUUCUAAUCUUUAUUAUAGUUAUAGUAGUUCAUAGUUAGCGUUCUUCCGUACGUUUUUCUACAUCUAGUCCCACAUACUUUCAGCUAUAGAAACCAUUCAAGUAUCAAAAUAAUCAGCUUUUUAAGGAGACAGGUGCUAUUAUUUUUCACAUUCAAAUCUUUAAGUUAUUGAGCUUUUUUAAAAAAAUUUUUCCAUUGAAAUGAAUGAAAAAACAUUUUCAAAUCCUUUUUAGCUUUAACUACUUCAACAUACUUUAAGCUACAGACACCAGUUGAACUACAAAACAAUCUUCAACUAUAUAUAUAUAUUGUUCAGCUUUUUAAUAUCUUUAAUACUUUCUGAGUUAAAGCAGUUUAAGCAUAGGGUGUUUUUUUUAAGAAUUCUCAGCUUUUCCAUUAGUGUGUAUUGUGUCUGCUAGAGUGUGAGGACACGUUUCUUUAGGCUGAUACCUUUCUGUUUAACUCUUCACUACAGCCACAGUUUUUAAUCCCUGAACAAAUUUUUUUCACUCGUUCGUGGUCAUACUUGUCUUCUUUCUAAUGAUGUGUCUGGUUAAGCCAUCAGACCUAUACUUUAGUCUGUAUCUGCCUCAAAGCAACAAGUGACAAGAGUUCUAAAAUUUCUCCCAUACACUCUAAUGCAUUUGUCUGUGAGGGUUUUGAGGAAAAGCGCAGAAGUGCUGGCAUUUUUAAAAUGAGACUGAGGAGUAAGAAUUGUGGCCACAAACAUAAAACUUACACCAUAAUUAAUAGUGAGUAUUUCUGGCACCCUAACAGAAGCUGGUGUGAGAAGGAGUGACCAUUGCAAUGACUGAUGCAUGGUUUGUAAUAAAAUAUUAUCUAUUAUAAAUCCCUCAAAAUCUUUUCACAAUAAAAGCAAUCCAAUUGCUCCUUAGCAUGUUUUCUGCUUUUGACUGGGUAGUUACUGACACUGUUCAAACUUUACCAGUUAAGCACACACAUCCCCCUAAUCCUUUAAAAAUUAAAGCAUAAGUCAAAAUCAUUAGCUUUUGUAGAAAAAAUCCUGUGGCUCAACGGUAUAAGUCCUUGACUCAGGAAUAGAAGAUGUGUUUUGAUUCCCAUUGGAGGCAAGUUUAUGCAUUCAGUUCAUAAUAUAACUACAUUGAUUUCCUUCCUUCCUCCACCAAUCCAAAUAUUUAGACUAAAUAGCACAUUUCCUGCUUUUGACUGGUUAAUUAUGAUUAGUUAAUGAGACUAUACUAGAUAAAGCAUUUUCAUAAGAAAAUGCACAGUGAAUGCUUCCAUGCUGAAUGUUGUCAGACUUCGGCAGAUGUCGGACCCACAUGCACAGUACACUCGAGAGCUUGAUGAAUAAACAAUGUUUAUUGUAUCGACGUAGUCAGGCAGUCCAGGUCAUACACAGUGAGUCUCAAUUCUUCAGACACCAAAAGGGACAGGCAAGAUCAGAUCCAGUAAACAGUCAGAGGUUCGGUACACAAGUUAACUCGGCAGAGGUACAGACUAGGGCUAGGCAAAACUCGAGGUCAGACGGUCAGAAAAUUACCACAGGAUCCAAGGCGAAGGUACAGACGAGGGACAGGCAGGAAUUGGCGGUCAGUAACAGACAUGAUCAAAAGACAAUAUGGCUAUACUAGAACGCUGGAAUGUGGUACUGAGACUCGACAAUCUGGCAACUCAAGUGUGUGAGAGGUGGAGGCUAUAUACUGGUGUGGAUUACUAAUUACAGACAGGUGUGGAUAAUGGGAACCGGAUAAUGACAGAAACAGCUGAGAUGAGCUAUGACCAGGAAGUCCUUUCAGAGUAAAACAGGAACCAGCACAGAUCGUGACAAAUAUAUUCCUGAAAAGUGUAUAGGUUUGCUUAAUUUGAUGUAAUAUAGCGAAAUGUAUUAAAAUGGCUAAAUAUUGUAAUUAAAUAGUUUUGAUUUCAAAAAGCUAAAUGAAUAGCUCAACAUUUUGGAAAUAUUUAAUACAGCUGAAAUUUGCUGCAGACCAAGUAGUGGAAUUUAGAUUGAAAAAAGUUGAAUAUUUGAAGGAAGUGUGUGCAGGUAAUUGGCAAGUUUAAUUUAAGUUUAAACUAGUCAAAAUCAACUAGUCAAAAGCAGAAAAGUGAUAUUUAGGCUAAAGAAUUAGAUUGGUGCUUUUAUUUUGAAAGGAGUUUUAGGAAAUGUGUGUCCUAAAUUGCUAGACUGGAAAAAGGGUUCAUUGAGUAGUCAUAAAUAACUAGUCAAAAACAGAAAUUGAAAAAAGUUAGAUUAGUGCUUUAUUCUGAAAGGGGUUGGAGAAGGUGUGUGGGCAAUUGCUAAACGGUAAAAUAGUCCUACCAAUUAGCAGUCAUUAACCAGUCAGAGGUAUAAAAAUGAAUUAUAACAAUAAGCAAUCCUUUGCAUACUUCCUUCAUUUUAGUGUUUCUUGAAUUUUAGCAGAUCUCUUUGAACUUUACUUAAAUUGCCUUAGGUUUACAUUGAAACUGCUUCAACAUUCAAGUCUUCGCUUAAUAACAUAAAUAUUUAGCGAGAGCUAAGCUAUGCCAAUUGAGACCUGUGCAGCUAAUUUCUAUGCUAAUCUAUUAAAUAAGAACCUUAGAUAUUUUUGUUAUAAGUUAUAACAUUACUUAAAUCCUAACUUUAAGUAUAACACUAUAAACACAACAAUGGUUACUUUACCCAUAAGCCUUAGUGGCUCAGAGCGGUAAUAACCCUCCUGGGCCAACUGAUUGAGCUGAUCUGUAAAAGUCCCUGCCUUUGGAGAACCGUCCCCAUGACAAUGGCGCAGCUGCAGUAGAUCAGUAAUUGAGCUCAGAAACUUUUGACUGAGAUGUCCAACUCCUACUGCUCAGUGUCUACAGCUGCUCUAACUUUCUCUAAAUCAUGUCAAAAUAAAAGCAUCAAUACAGACCUUUAGCUUAAAUACCACUAAUUCUACUUUUCAUUAUAGUAAUGAACCUAAUUUAUUGUUUAAUUACCAACACACACCUCAGAUCCUUUUAGUAUGAAAACAAACAUUAAAAUCUUACAAUGUAUUAGAAAUAAUUCUGCUUUUAUUUUGUAUUUUCAGCCUCUGCAUUACAUUAUUACAUUUUUUUCUUUUUUUUUUCUUCUUUAAUUACUUUUCUAAGAUGUUAAUGCUAAUAGCAUUUAAAACCAAUUUACCCACCCACAGAAAGAUUUUCAUGUAAUUUAUGUCACCCUAACUGAAACUGGUGUGAGAAGGAGUGACACUUGCAAUGAUUGAUGCAUGAUGUUCUAUUUGAGUAUUUACUUUUGCAUUACUAGUUUACUUUCAACCACUUGUUUAAUAACAUAACUAUGUUAAAAUUACAGCAUAUUUAUAAUCUUGAUUCUCCAUCUGGAGAAACCUUUUGAGCGUUGUCCUCUCUAAGCCCUGUUAACCUAUGAUUGAUGGAUAAUGUUGUAUUAGCAUAUUUACCUUUGCAUUAGGUCAACCUUUAUACUAUUGCAACCUUCAGUUUUUGUUUGUUAAGCACAUACAAGUCAAUUCAAAAUAAAAGCACCAAUCUAUGUCUUUAGCCGAAUAGCAUUAUUUGUGCUUUUAAAUGCGUAAUUGUGACUAGUUAAUGAGACUAUUUCAUAAUUUAGAAAAUUAAUCAUGCACACCUACUCCAAAUCCUUUUAAAAUAAAAGCAGGAAUUCAUAUAUUUAGCUUUUUUUCCAAAUCCUUUCAAAAUAAAAGACUUGACUAUAAUGACUACAAAUGUAUAGUUUAGUAAUUGCCCACACACACCUCCUCCAGAUCAUUACAGAAUAAAAGCACCAAUCAAAAUCGUUUGCUUCACUGGCAGUGUUUCUGCUUUUGACUGGUUAAUUAUGAUUAAUUAAUAACACUAUUUCACUCUUUAGCAAUUAUCUGCAGAAACAUUAAAUAUAUCAAAUAUUUGUACAAUUUUGAACUAUUCUUUCAGCUUUUGAAACUAAAACUUUUUAAUUAUUAUAUUUAGCUACUUACUACCUUGAGCUAAAUUACAUCCAAUUAAGCAAACCUUUACACACUUCAUUCAUUUUCAGCAGUUCUUCAAUUACAGCAAAUCUUUUUCAAGUUUUCUUAAUUUAAAAUUCAACAACUUCAGCUUCUUCUGCAAAAUUCAACUCUGUUAGAACAACUCCUGAUUCUCUUCAGAUACAUUCAUCUAUACUUUAUGUGCUUAAGCUACUUUCAGAUAUGUUUUAAAUGUUUCAGCUAUUUUCAGCAGUAAUACAUUCAGUGUGGAAGCAUUCACUCUGCAUUUUCUUGUGGAAAUCCUUUUCCUAGUUAUUAUUAUUUCGCCCCAUUUUUCAGUCUGUUUCAUCAUCUCAGUGCUCUGGGAAUCAUCGUUAAUUUCUUGUCAACUUUUUCAUCAACUUCUAACAUCGUCAUACCUUGGCGUAGAUUCAUGAUUUAAACUUUAAAAGCGUCUAUCAUCCUUCAACUUUCUCCAUGUAACUCAGCGUUUUUGUGAGCAUUUAAGUGUAAGGUGGCUUUUGACGAAUUCUCAGCUUUUCCAUUAGUGUGUAUUGAUGUCACAGCUAAAGUGUUAAAAAAAAAGUGAGGGCGCAUUUUUUACAGGUCCAUGCACAUGCAAAAUUUACUUUUUGGACAUUCUGGUACGUUUAUUUGACUCCCUGGGUCACAUUAAGACACUCCUGGUGUGUUAGAAGUACGCCCCCUACCUUUUUCACAUUUUUGAGAGUUUAUCCAAUCCGGUUCAAGAAGCAUCGUUUCAAAUUUGGCGGACUGGAUACGUCUACAUUCGCGCUGACCAAUCACAGAACCAGCUUCGCCCCCCCCCAGACAAACCUGGACCCCUAAAUGUACCUGAAACAUUUAGUUUCAGUCACUCCAGUCACAGACAAAAGAAGAAGAAGUCACUGACUGCGCAGUCUACCAUAGGAGGUGGCGCUAAUGCACCUUUCAGUUGAUUGCCACCUGCCUUUAAAAGACAAAAGAAGAAGUCACUCAGGUUGAAGAAGCGCCCUGUUCCUCAAGACGUUAUCCACCUGCUGCUUCCCCAAACGCUGACGCAUGCCAGCUACCGAAACGCGAGGAGGUUGCUUCUUAAACUGACAAGCUGACAACCUUGUAGAAGAGUAGAAGAGUGCUCACCUCAGGAGCAAAGAGUGGUGUCAAGGAAAACAGCUGCAUCCUCCAUCUGUACAGCAGCUGCACUGCUUCCAAUGUCUUCCAACACGUGAAGACAAAAAAAGAUCCUCACAUCUCCCCAGCCAACUGCCCAUGACUGUACCUGUUCUACUCCAGAAACUAUGCUUUCAACAUAACUAUGAAUCCUACCCGUUCAUUUUGUGGUCUGCAAAUUGAACUGUGACGGUAUCUUAUCCAGCAUUAUAGUGCUGAUGCAUUGGUUAGAAAUAAAGUUGGCUUUGACUA